GGCGAACGCUGGCGGCGUGCUUAACACAUGCAAGUCGAACGGAAAGGCCCUGCUUUUGUGGGGUGCUCGAGUGGCGAACGGGUGAGUAACACGUGAGUAACCUGCCCUUGACUUUGGGAUAACUUCAGGAAACUGGGGCUAAUACCGGAUAGGAGCUCCUGCUGCAUGGUGGGGGUUGGAAAGUUUCGGCGGUUGGGGAUGGACUCGCGGCUUAUCAGCUUGUCGGUGGGGUAGUGGCUUACCAAGGCUUUGACGGGUAGCCGGCCUGAGAGGGUGACCGGCCACAUUGGGACUGAGAUACGGCCCAGACUCCUACGGGAGGCAGCAGUGGGGAAUAUUGCACAAUGGGCGGAUGCCUGAUGCAGCAACGCCGCGUGCGGGAUGACGGCCUUCGGGUUGUAAACCGCUUUCGCCUGUGACGAAGCGUGAGUGACGGUAAUGGGUAAAGAAGCACCGGCUAACUACGUG
rnacentral:rRNA from 1 species